UGGGGAAUAUUGGGCAAUGGGGGAAACCCUGACCCAGCGACGCCGCGUGAAGGAAGAAGGUCUUCGGAUUGUAAACUUCUGUUUGUGGGGAAGAAGAAAGUGACAUAACCCACAGAGAAAGCCACGGCUAACUACGUGCCAGCAGCCGCGGUAAUACGUAGGUGGCAAGCGUUAUCCGGAAUUACUGGGUGUAAAGGGUGAGUAGGCGGGAUUGCAAGUCAGAUGUGAAAUCUUUUGGCUCAACCAAAAAACUGCAUUUGAAACUGCAAUUCUUGAGAGUGGGAGAGGUAAGCGGAAUUCCCGGUGUAGCGGUGAAAUGCGUAGAGAUCGGGAGGAACACCAGUGGCGAAGGCGGCUUGCUGGACCACCACUGACGCUGAGGCACGAAAGCGUGGGUAGCAAACAGG
rnacentral:rRNA from 2 species